GUGGGGGAAAAGUGAGGGGAAGGCUAUUCUCUGGACAUGAUUGCUUGGGGAAUUACAAGUACAUAGUCUAUCGGUGUAAAUUCGUCAAAGACCAACUGGUACAAGCUGCAGCCAUAAGUCAUAAGCAUAAACUAUCUGUGAGAAAGAUUUCACCUUGUUGUGACCUCUUUAAUUAAACAGGCUGGGUGAUUUAAUUCAAACAGGAACCUGUUACAUAACCAUGAGCCCAUAUGGAUUUGUUGUAUGGUCAGCU